rnacentral:lncRNA from 1 species
UUUUUCCCAUUCGUCCGUUGGCGUCUGGUCGUGGUUUCUUUCUCCCAUUCAUCCGUUGAUGUCUGGUUGAGUUUUUCCCAUUCGUCCGUUGGCGUCUGGUCGUGGUUUCUUUCUCCCAUUCAUCCGUUGAUGUCUGGUUGAGUCUUUCCCAUUCGUCCGUUGGCGUCUGGUCGUGGUUUCUCUUCCCAUUCAUCAUCUUUCGAUGUCUGGUCGUGGUUUCUUUCUCCCAUUCAUCCGUUGAUGUCUGGUUGAGUUUUUUCCCAUUCGUCCGUUGGCG